AACUGCAAGUUGGAAGUAGGAUGUUGUCUCAGGAGGCUGCUGUGUGUGGGGGAGGGAGGAGGCAACUGCAGGGUGGUGUGGUGGUCACCGUGCCACUGAUUUCAGGUUAAAAUAGAAUGUGGACCUCUUUUUACAAUAAUUGUUAAUUACUCCGCUAGUUUGUGUUGCUGUCUCUUGCUGUGCAGUCCACAGUCUGACAUCUCUGUGGUCCCCAUGUUUCCCUCCUGCUCGUGUUACCCAAUCCUGUGGGUCAGCUGUGAGGAAACCACUCUCUACUCAUCUGGAGUGGCCUCGUGCUGGGUGUGCUGGUCUCCUUGUGGGCUAAAGUGUUCUUCUGUUACUGUUUUCUCUGUUUUUUGACUAAAUUUAGCAGACUUGUGUAUGGUGCAAACAUUUUUAAGAAUGUCUUUUGCCUUUAUGGAAAAAACACCUGCAUUGCUUUAAAAUGAACCUUUCCUGUGUCUCUAUCCUUCCUCAUAGAUUGCUCUGUGUUAGAAACUCGGUGGUGUGUGUGCUUCAUGGCCUCAUUUCAUCAAGCACUGUAACCUCUGAUUGCAAAAGUGACUGCACUCAAGGCAAAAAACUUUGCAAAUGUUGAAAAGAAUGAGCAAAAACAAUAUAUUGUUCCCUUGUCAUCCUGAAAUGGCUACUCUUAAUAUUUUCAUGUAGUUCUUUCCAUUCUUUUUAAGUAAAGUUGCUUCUAACACAAGCACUUUGAUUAUAUUGAUCAAAUUAUAUUCAGGAAAUAAGGAGAAAGUAAAAAGAAUAUCCAGUUUAGGGCAAAAAGGAAGACGACAUAGAAAGAGGCUGUAAAACUCCCUGCAACUUGAAAAGCUGGGUUGUGGUGGUUGUGGUUUUGUUUUUACCGUGAGAGACCACAGGAUUCUUCUUGGCACUGAAGGACAAUAACAUAAUACCCUGUGUGUGUUCUGGUGGCCGUAUAAACCGAGCCACAUGUCCUCUUUCCAAGCAGAGAAAGCAUGAGGUCUGAGGUAGUGGUUCGGCAACUUUUUGAAAGUCUGUUUGUAGGACUGCACUGCAGAGAUUAGGUCAGUCUGAAGUAGAUUCAAAUGAUCUGUUCAGGCCUUGGGAGCUUUCUACACCGGGUGUACGCCUGUUCUGGAUGUGGUGUAGAAGGAACAGGACUGGGAGGGUUUCUUGCUUCCCAGUCAUAGAAAUGCCUGCAAUUAUCACUGUUUGUUGUCUCUCAGGAAGCUAUUUCGGGAAGGAAGUGUCCAUUCCAAGGCUGCUGGUUGGCCUGUCGUCACCCUGGGGGUCUUUGUGUGGGUCACGGGAGCUGUGACUGCUCACGCGUGGAGCUCUAUCUCUCUCGCUGCUGCGCCGGUGGACAGCUGAUCAGCAACAAAGUGUCUGUCCCAGUGGCCUUUGAGAAGAAUUCUUUGCAUUAUUCUUAUACAAGGUCCUUUUUCCUUUCAAUGUCAACAUCGUGUCUUCUAGCCAAGCGAUAUGUUCUUGCAGAAACAGGAAGUGUGGCCCAAGUGAGAAAUGAGGGAAUUGAUCCAUUACUGCUAUCAGUUUUCAUAUAGUUGAGCCAUUGUAAUUUAUACAUAAACAUGUUAAAUCUGUAGAAGUGAGUCACGGUGCCAGAUCCUCACAAAUGCCGAAUGUCUACGUGGGACCUCUCUUCUAUCGGGUCCACAUCACAAGAAGAAAAGUCGCUCAAAUGCAGCACGGAGUGGACGUGAAUCUCCGAAAACUCCAUGAAUCAGAGCGACUGCUUUCCCAAUUGCCGGUCUCCCCAUUUGAGAUUGUGAGAUUCCCGUUCUGAAGCUCCUUCAAUUUCCCAGCAUCCAUUUCACUCCUUCAUGGUGAUAACAGACUCACACUGAUACCUUGUUCUCAGAUUUUCUAAUUAGAAAAAGCACAUAUUUCACAAGAAUUGUCCAACUAACUCACUCCUUAGCCUGGGGUAAGCCACAUACCGCUUUUCUCUUUAAAAUACUCACCUUUCAGAACUCUUGGUAAAUUAUUUAAGAAUAGGAAGGUACCAUGACUUUGGCCACGAGCAGUAUUAUGUAUAAUGUGCAAGUGAGUGCCUUGAGAGCCGUGGUUGCUAAAAACAAAUUUUCUCAGAAAGGAAAAAUGUAAGCAGUUCUUUACAUGAUCGUUAAUUUUGUUUUGCCUAAAUAACAUCUUGUCUUUGUACAGGGAUACAGGACGUUGCUGAGUAUUGACGGGGGCGAGUGGGUCCCGCUGCCCCACUGUGUGAUCCUGAAUAUCGACAGGGACGUCCACACGGAAGCUGUCCAGGCGGCUCCAGACACAAAGAGCAGAAGAGGGCGGUGCCUAUGCCUUCCAAACGCAGGUCCCUGGUCGUGCAGACCUCCAUGGACGCCUACACCCCUCCAGGUAAGGGACAUGCUCCCCGACGCUGCCUCCUGAACAUGCUGGGUGCCUCAGAAUUGACCACUAGCCCAGUAGUCGGGUUUCUGCCUUCAAAGUCAUGGUGCAGAAAUGCAGAUUUUGUGAACCAGAAGUCCGAAAACAGUGUAUGAAAAGUAACAUUAUGUAUCUGUAUAAAUACACAUUUUUAAGUUUUCAUCAAGAUUCAUACAUACGAUACAUACCAGUAAAAUCUCACACAGUUUUAUUCAUUUAAUUCCUUGUAGGGAAAAGGGAAGAGUUCGUAACCCUCUGGGUGGAAUUGGACUUUUCUUCUGAUUAGGCUGGUGCAUGCGUGUUCUCAUAUCUUCAGAUAAGUGUGCUAUAUUGUUGGAUUGUUUUAGAACAAGUGAAUUGGACAGUUUCGGCAGCUACCCGAAUCAGGUCAUAAGCUUUGCCUGCAAGGUGCCAGCUAGUAUUUUAGUUCCUGCAGGCCAUAAAGUCUCUCACAACCACUCAACUGUGCCCUCAGCCAUGGGUGAUAGCAAAUGCGUAUGGCUGUGUACCCAGAAAGCUUUAUUUACAAGAACAACGGACCAGAUUUGGUGCACGGACCUGCCAACCCCUGAUCUAAAUUACUGAAGGUAAAAAUCUGAGCAAACUGAAAAAUCAGCAGUUCUUAAACCUGCAAGAGACGUGAGGUCACCGGCAAGCCACUGUCCCCAGAUUGGCUGGACAGGUAAAGCAGAUGAAUCACCAUACACUGGAGCACAAUGCUCCAAGGAACCAACGCUGGGAUUGGAAAGCCUGAACUGGAAUGACAAA